rnacentral:lncRNA from 10 species
AUACAAAAAUUAGUUGGUUGUGGUGGCACGCGCCUAUAAUCCCAGCUACUCUGGAGGCUGAGACAGGAGAAUCACCUGAACCUGGGAGAUGAGGAAUCACAAACCCUGGUUUUCCGUGUUACCACAACACUCUGGCCAGCCCACCCAACCCCCACUGCUUUUCCUCUAGCACUUAUUUGAAAACCACCCAGUAAUGUUUGUCCAGUGUUUUCCACUGCUUAAUAUUUGCUAUAUAGUUCUUUAUAAAUGUUUUAACAGAAGAAAUACAAAAGAGAUGUGAAUAUUGCUGUGAAAUAUCCCUACACAAAAUCAGGAACAUAUCUAAAAUCUGAAGUAAUCUUCAACAAAGUUGACCAAAAUAAGCAAUGGGGAAAGAAUUCUCUAUACAAUAAAUGGUACUGGAAAAACUAACCAUAUGCAGAAGAAUGAAACUGGACUUCCACAGAGUAAACAGACAACCUACAGACUGGGAAAAACUAUAUGUAAACUAUGCAUCCAACAAAGGCCUAACAUCUAGAAUUUAUAAGGAACUUAACAAGAAAAAAAACAACCCCCCUAAACACUGGGCACAGGACAUGAACUGACACUUCUCAAAAGAAGACAUACAAGUGGCCAACAAAUAUAUGAAAAAAAUGCUUAACAUCGCUAAUCAUCAGAGAAGUGCAAAUCAAAACCAAAUGAGAAACCAUCUUACACCAGUCAGAAUGGGUAUUAAAGUAAAAAAAUAACAGAUAUGUUGGCAUGGUUGUAGAGAAAAGGGAACACUUAUACACUGUUAGUGGGAAUGUAAAUUAGUUCAGCCCCUGUGGAAAGCAGUUUGGAGAUUUCUUAAGGGGCUAAAAGUAGAACUAUCAUUCGACUUAGCAAUCCCAGUAUUGGGUAUAUGCCCAAAGGAAAAUUCUUCUACCAAAAACACACCUGCACUCAGCUGACUCCAGCACUAUUCACUACAGCAAAGACAUGAAAUCAACUUAGGUGCCUAUCAACAGUGGACUGGAUAAAGAAAUCCUGGUAUAUAUACACCAUAAAAUAGUAUGUAGCCACAAAAUAGAAUGAAAUCAUGUCCUUUGCAGCAACAUGGAUGCAGCUGGAGGCCAGUAUCCUAAGAAAAUUAAGGCUGAAGCAGAAAACCAAAUAUUGCAUGUUUUCACUUAUAAGUGGGAGCUACACACUGGGUACACAUGGACAUAAAGAUAGGAACAACAGACACUGGGGACUACAGGACAAUGGAGGGAGGGAGGGAGGGAGGGAGGCAAAGGUUGAAAAACUGCCUAUUAGGUACUAUGUUCUCUUACACAGGUGAUGGGAUCAAUUGAAGCCCAAACCUCAGCAUUACACAAUAUACCCUUGUAACAAAUCUGCAUAUGUACUCCCUGAAUCUAACAUUUAAAAGUUAAAAUAAAAUUCUAUUUUAAGAGUAAUUUAAAAUACUAAAUAUUUGUGGUAUUUCUUUCAAUUUUUAAAUAGUUUUUGACAUUUAUCUUGUACUAAUGCUCUUUUAAUGUUUUACAUUAUCACAUUAAUUUUCUGAUUUUAUAGAUCUUCUAUAGGUGUGUAAGAUAUUAAGGUUAGGAGAAGCUGAGCGAAGUAUAUGGAAGCUCUUAUUUUUGCAGCUUUCUAUAAAUCUAAAAUUAUUUAAAAAUGAAAUUUAAGAAUGUUUUUACGAUGUUGAUGAUAGGGGAAGCUAUGUAUGUGUGGGGGCACGGGAUAUGGGAAAUCUCUGUACCUUCCUUUCAAUGUUGCUGUUAAUCUAAAACAGCUCUUACAAAAAACAAGUCCUUUAAAAAAGUCUAUUAUCAGGUAGAGAAUAUUUUUACAUGUUAUUAAAAUAUAUAAUCAUAUCACGACAUUGUGGCUCACAACAACAAACCGUGCAUUUAUCAUACACAAAUAUAAAACCUCUGAAAAUGUUAGUGUAAUACUAGCACAGGAAAACUUGUCAUCUUUGAUUAUGAUCUCUACUACUAUUCAAGAAUGUGUAAGUAAAAGUUUUUUAAAAUACAAGGUUAUAAUUUAGGAACUCCCAGGAAUUCCAACUUCUUACUCCUGAAUCUCAAAUAUUAUUAUCCUUCAGGAAUUUGGAAACAUUAGUUGACUACAAACAACUGACAGAAACAAAUGCAAAUUCUUUCUAGAGUUCAGGUGUCUUCACCUCAACUCUUAAGAUUUUCCAAAUACUAUGACCAGCACACAGUAAGAUAAUCAGACACACAAAGAGCCUAGACCACAAAAAUGAGAACCCAUGUGACAUCAAAAACAGUCCCACUAACACUGAAUAUCUUGGAAUCAUACACAGACUAUAAAACAGCUAUGCUUACCAUAUGGAAAGAAAAUAAAAACCAAAGCUGGGCAUGAUGGCUCACAUCUGUAAUCCCAGCACUUUGGGAGGCCAAGGCAGGCGGAUCACUUGAGGCUAGGAGUUCGAGACCAGGCUGACCAACAUGGUGAAACCCCAUCUCUACUAAAAAUACAAAAAUUAGCCAGGUGUGGUGGCGGGCACCUGUAAUUCCAGCUACUCGGGAGGCUAAGGCAGAAGAAUCACUUGAACCCGGGAGGCAGAAGUUGCAGUGAGCCAAGAUCACGCCAUUGCACUGCAGUCUGGGCAACAAGAGUGAGACUCCAUCUCAAAAAUAAAUAAAUAAAUAAAUAAA